rnacentral:rRNA from 1 species
UACGUAGGGUGCGAGCGUUGUCCGGAAUUAUUGGGCGUAAAGGGCUCGUAGGCGGUUGUCGCGUCGGGAGUGAAAUCCACUGGCUUAACUGGUGGCUUGCUUCGAUACGGGCCAGACUGGAGGUAUGCAGGGGAGACGGAAUUCCUGGUGUAGCGGUGAAAUGCGCAGAUAUCAGGAGGAACACCGGUGGCGAAGGCGGUCUCUGGCGAGUGUCCUGACGCUGGAGGAGCGAAAGUGUGGGAGCGA